rnacentral:lncRNA from 1 species
AUGGCUUCGUCAAAUGAUGUUGUGCGUCCUAUUGAAGUCGUUCUGGAUGGGUCCAACUAUAAUAUUUGGUCCUAGGAGGCGCAGAUUAUGAAGAUUCGUUACUAGAGACAAGAAGGCUCCUAAAAAGGGUUCUACAGAGUCCAAUGCUGAUUUUGAAAAACAACAGGAGUGGGAUAGUACACACUGUAAGAUUUUAUGUUGGUUUAUUAAUACAUCUGUUCUCUCUAUUCAGACUCUUCUUCCGAAAUUUCGAAAUUCCAAGCUCAUAUGGGAAUUCUUGGCAAAUCGUUAUAAUUGUUCGAGCGACUUGGCUCUUCAGUUCUAGUUGGAGUCUAGGAUUCAUCAGUUGCAUCAGACAUCUAUUCAAUCUAUUCUUGACUUCAUUUCAUAGAUUAGCAGUCUUUGGGACUAGCUUUUCCAAACUAAUCCUAAUUUUAUAAACGAGGGCUAUGCUAAGAAGUUUUUAGGAAUAUAGGGAUCGUCGGCAAUUUAUUUAGCUUACGAUGGGCGUUCGAGAUAAAUUUGAGAACACCAGAGCUUCUUUACUUCAUCGAUCUCCUCGACCGACUGUUGAGGUAGCCCUCACCGAGCUCAUCUCCAAAAAGACUCGUCAGGCCACUCAUCGAGGUGUUUCUAUUGAUAUGGUUAUGGCCACAUCAAUUGGUAUUUUACCCACUCCCUUUAUUCCUUCUGCCUCUAUUCCAGUUGUUGCAGCUACCCCUUCGAAGUCAAAUAGGGAAAAGCCUAGUAAAUUUCGGGGACAGUACUUCCAUUGCGGCAAAAUAGGUCAUAAGAUCUAAAAGUGCAGAAAGAAACAGGCUGAGGAGAAAGCAGCUCAAAAAGCCCAAGCGGCCUCAUCACACAGGACUGCGGCUGUUGCUUCUACUGGUUCGUCAACUUCUGUGACUUCUUCUUCUAAGCCCACUUCAUCCAUUACUACAACAAAUAUUGAGGCAAUAGUUCAUCGGGUUCUAUCUCGCACUGCCCUCUCUACCAUCUCAAGUAAACCUUUUUCCUAGUUCAUUGACACCGCCUGUUGUAAUCACAUGACCUCUGAUCCCUCCUUAGUUCUUUUGAAAACAAACUUAAAUCUUCUUCCUAUUAUUUAUACUGCUAACGACUUCCAUAUGGCUGCUAGCCACAUAGGUCCUGUCUCUACUUUUACCCUUUCCUUACCAAAUAUAUAUCUUGUUCCGAAAUUAUCUUUUAACUUGCUGUCUAUUGGUCAACUUGUGGAACAUGGCCUUAAAUUAACUUUUACUGACAAAGGUUAUGAUGUGCAGGAUCAGAGACGGGUCAGCUCGUUGGGACGGACGUAAACUUGGUCGUCUGUUUGAGCUUACAUCAUUACAUGUAGCUAGCUCUAAUCUUAUUCCAUUAGUUGCUGCUGUAUCCUCGAGUCUCUGGCAUUCUCGUUUGGGGCAUGCUUCUUUGUCUCAUGUUCAGUCUUUGGCUUCGAGUGGUCAUUUGGGAAAAGUUAACUUUCAACCUUUUGAUUGUAUAUCUUGUCAAUUAGAAAAACAAAAUGCUUUGUCCUUUAAUAAAAGUGUUUCUUUCUCCA